UUACGGCCACAUCACGUUGAAACACUGGUUUCCGUACGACAACUGAUGCUAAGCAACGUCGAGCCUGGUCAGCACCUAGAUGGGUGACAAUUUGGGAAAACCAGGUGCUGUAAG